rnacentral:rRNA from 1 species
UACGAAGGGGGCUAGCGUUGUUCGGAAUUACUGGGCGUAAAGCGUGCGCAGGCGGCUUCUCAAGUCAGGGGUGAAAGCCCAGAGCUCAACUCUGGAAUUGCCUUUGAGACUGAGAGGCUUGAGUACGGGAGAGGUGAGUGGAAUUCCCAGUGUAGAGGUGAAAUUCGUAGAUAUUGGGAAGAACACCAGUGGCGAAGGCGGCUCACUGGACCGUAACUGACGCUCAUGCACGACAGCGUGGGGAGCAAACAGG